rnacentral:rRNA from 1 species
UACGUAGGGUGCGAGCGUUGUCCGGAAUUAUUGGGCGUAAAGAGCUUGUAGGCGGUCUGUCGCGUCUGCUGUGAAAAUCCGGGGCUCAACCCCCGGACUUGCAGUGGGUACGGGCAGACUAGAGUGUGGUAGGGGAGACUGGAAUUCCUGGUGUAGCGGUGAAAUGCGUAGAUAUGCGGAGGAACACCGAUGGCGAACGGCAA